UGGCGGACGGGUGAGUAAUGUCUGGGAAACUGCCUGAUGGAGGGGGACAACUACUGGAAACGGUAGCUAAUACCGCAUAACGUCGCAAGACCAAAGAGGGGGACCUUCGGGCCUCUUGCCAUCGGAUGUGCCCAGAUGGGAUUAGCUAGUAGGUGGGGUAACGGCUCACCUAGGCGACGAUCCCUAGCUGGUCUGAGAGGAUGACCAGCCACACUGGAACUGAGACACGGUCCAG
rnacentral:rRNA from 1 species